GUUUCGCCAACCCAGUCCCUUCGCCAUAUUGCUAAUAAGGCACGGCGUCAAGGGCUGCGAGCGAACAGGUUUCGCCAUCCCUUGCCCUUUGCCAUAGUGUCAAUAAGGCAUGGCGUCAAGGGCUGCGGAAGAAGAGGUUUCGCCACACCCACGCCCUUCGCCAUAGUGCCAAUAAGGCACGGCGUCAAGGGCUGCGGGCGAACAGGUUUCGCCCACCCACGCCCUUUUGCCAAUAAGGGACGGCGUCAAGGGCAGUGGGCGAAGAGGUUUCGCCUACCAACACCCUUCGCCAUAGUACCAAUAAUGCACGGCGUCAAGGGCUGCGGGCGAACAGGUUUCGCCCACCCAUGCUCUCCGCCAUAG
rnacentral:lncRNA from 1 species